UUAUAUUAUACAGAGCAUUAUGUCGGCUCUGAUUUCAGGAAAAGAUUACGGAAUAUAGAUGUGUGGGCCCUGUGCAACAAGACCCCGUGAACCAUGUCAGGCGGGAGACCGAGCAGCAUUAAGCGGAUUGUUUUGUGUGCCGCAGCAAGCCUGCACAUCUAUGCUCCGGAAUUUUUUGCAGAAAAAUAA
rnacentral:SRP_RNA from 1 species